GGAUAACAUUUGGAAACAGGUGCUAAUACCGCAUAACAACGAAAGCCACAUGGCUUUUGUUUGAAAGAUGGCUUUGGCUAUCACUCUGGGAUGGACCCGCGGUGCAUUAGCUAGUUGGUAAGGUAACGGCUUACCAAGGCGAUGAUGCAUAGCCGAGUUGAGAGACUGAUCGGCCACAAUGGAACUGAGACACGGUCCAUACUCCUACGGGAGGCAGCAGUAGGGAAUCUUCCACAAUGGGCGCAAGCCUGAUGGAGCAACACCGCGUGAGUGAAGAAGGGUUUCGGCUCGUAAAGCUCUGUUGUUGGAGAAGAACGUGCGUGAGAGUAACUGUUCACGCAGUGACGGUAUCCAACCAGAAAGUCACGGCUAACUACGUGCCAGCAGCCGCGGUAAUACGUAGGUGGCAAGCGUUAUCCGGAUUUAUUGGGCGUAAAGCGAGCGCAGGCGGUUGCUUAGGUCUGAUGUGAAAGCCUUCGGCUUAACCGAAGAAGUGCAUCGGAAACCGGGCGACUUGAGUGCAGAAGAGGACAGUGGAACUCCAUGUGUAGCGGUGGAAUGCGUAGAUAUAUGGAAGAACACCAGUGGCGAAGGCGGCUGUCUGGUCUGCAACUGACGCUGAGGCUCGAAAGCAUGGGUAGCGAACAGGAUUAGAUACCCUGGUAGUCCAUGCCGUAAACG
rnacentral:rRNA from 1 species